CAUAAGAUGGCUGAAAGGAAGCAUGAGUCUCUUAAACUCAAAUAUAACAAAAAUACGUUUGUUUCUUAUGA
rnacentral:tRNA from 1 species